rnacentral:rRNA from 1 species
AUUGAACGCUUUCUUCCUUCCUUACACAUGCAAGUCGAACGGUAACAGGUUAAGCUGACGAGUGGCGAACGGGUGAGUAAUGUAUCGGAACGUGCCCAGUCGUGGGGGAUAACUGCUCGAAAGAGCAGCUAAUACCGCAUACGACCUGAGGGUGAAAGCGGGGGAUCGCAAGACCUCGCGCGAUUGGAGCGGCCGAUAUCAGAUUAGGUAGUUGGUGAGGUAAAGGCUCACCAAGCCGACGAUCUGUAGCUGGUCUGAGAGGACGACCAGCCACACUGGGACUGAGACACGGCCCAGACUCCUACGGGAGGCAGCAGUGGGGAAUUUUGGACAAUGGGCGCAAGCCUGAUCCAGCCAUGCCGCGUGCGGGAAGAAGGCCUUCGGGUUGUAAACCGCUUUUGUCAGGGAAGAAAAGGUUCUGGCUAAUACCUGGGACUCAUGACGGUACCUGAAGAAUAAGCACCGGCUAACUACGUG